rnacentral:rRNA from 1 species
GGUUCGAAGGCGAUCAGAUACCGCCCUAGUUCUGACCGUAAACGAUGCCACCUGACGAUCCGCCAGGGUUACUACCAUGACUCGGCGGGCAGUCCCCGGGAAACCCAAGCCUUCGGGUUCCGGGGGAAGUAUGGUUGCAAAGCUGAAACUUAAAGGAAUUGACGGAAGGGCACCACCAGGAGUGGAGCCUGCGGCUUAAUUUGACUCAACACGGGGAACCUCACCCGGCCCGGACACCGCGAGGAUUGACAGAUUGAGAGCUCUUUCUCGAUUCGGUGGGUGGUGGUGCAUGGCCGUUCUUAGUUGGUGGAGCGAUUUGUCUGGUUAAUUCCGAUAACGAACGAGACUCUAGCCGGUUAAGUAGCCCGAGCGGUUUUUGAUCUUUGCCGUUCAUCCCCGUUCGACCUUUGCGUCGUCCCAAACCUUUUGUGCGGGCCGUCUCCGUCGUUUUACCGUUUCUCUUGGUUUCCCGAUUGUCCGUCGUCCCGUCGAUCCGUUCGGCGGGUGCCGACGGUUUUCGCGGUUUCCAGGGGGGCGGUGGCGGCGGAACGGUUUCGUUCAGGGGGCGGGUAUACGCUCGGUCGUUUCGGGGUGAAAGCAUAACCGAAGGCCGCCGGCUUUUAAGGAAGCUUCUUAGAGGGACGAGCGGCGUUCAGCCGCCCGA